rnacentral:lncRNA from 1 species
AUUCUGUCUGCAUCACCAGCACCAAGGAGUGUUACUGAGCUUCAAGCAACAGUCCCAACAAAUUCAACUAGUUUCAUUCCUGAAACUGCAAUUGAUCGGCUUAUGGCACAAGGUCAAAGUGAUACUGCGACAACAGCAUCUCCAAGUCAACAUGAUUCUCCUAUGUCUGCUGCAAUGUCUAAACAGUGUGCUGUAGUCACACCUGCACUUUUGUCAGCUGUUUGCAGCCUUCUGCACAAUCUGCUGAUUGUUACACCAAAAGAUACUGGAAUUGCCCUUCAACAAGAUUUGCUAACAGCUCUCAGCAGUCUUGUAAGUGCUAAUCUGGUUGAGAGAUAUAUUUUGGAACUGAAAGCUCCACUGGGUAGUCCAUGUCAUACAGAACAUGUGAAAGCUCAGGUUAGAGAAGUACUUGUUAUUUUUUUUUAAUUAUGAAAAUAUUUAUUUUUUCUAUCUAUGUUUAUUAACG